UCCAGUGACAAUGGCAAAGAGGCCACACCCGUUCCCAUCCCGAACACGGCAGUUAAGCUCUUUUGCGCCGAUGGUAGUUGGGGGAUCUCCCCCUGUGAGAGUAGGACGUCGCUGGGC
rnacentral:rRNA from 1 species